AGUCAACAAAACGUCUUACAAUUUUUAAAAACAACUGGAAAAUGACGACUUCAUUAGAAAUAUGUUGAUCUAAGGAUCACAAAAAGACGAUUCAUGUCGGCACAAGCCCAUUUAUGCAGGGCCAACUUGGGCAAGCAUGUAACUUAACGUUAGUAUAUGAGGAGACGGAGUUUGACAUGCAUGCUAACAUUAGCCACCUAGCAAGGCCCUCGUUCUCUUCUGUCACUGCUGCAAGCUGGCUCUGAUCAAACUGUAGAGACUGGAUGGGCUUCCAUAUUGCUCAUCUGCUCCUGGACUCUCACUACCUCCUUCUGCAGCCGGGUCUGCUCCAACUCUGCCUUCUGCUUCUCCUCCU